GAUGAACGCUAGCGGCAGGCCUAACACAUGCAAGUCGAGGGGGAAGUUACUUUCGGGUAACUGAGACCGGCGUACGGGUGCGUAACGCGUAUACAAUCUGCCUUUCACUGGGGGAUAGCCCGAAGAAAUUUGGAUUAAUACCCCAUAGUAUAGUAAUACGGCAUCGUGAUACUAUUAAAGCUACGGUGGUGAAAGAUGAGUAUGCGUUCUAUUAGCUAGUUGGAGAGGUAACGGCUCCCCAAGGCGAUGAUAGAUAGGGGUUCUGAGAGGGAUGUCCCCCACACUGGUACUGAGAUACGGACCAGACUCCUACGGGAGGCAGCAGUGAGGAAUAUUGGACAAUGGUCGGAAGACUGAUCCAGCCAUGCCGCGUGCAGGAUGAAGGUCUUAUGGAUUGUAAACUGCUUUUGUAAGGGAAGAAUAAGGAGUACGAGU
rnacentral:rRNA from 1 species